rnacentral:rRNA from 1 species
AUUGAACGCUGGCGGCAGGCCUAACACAUGCAAGUCGAGCGAGCGGCGGAAGGGUGAGUAAUGUCUGGGAAACUGCCUGAUGGAGGGGGAUAACUACUGGAAACGGUAGCUAAUACCGCAUACCAACAGAUGGGGCCAGAUGGGAUUAGCUAGUAGGUGGGGUAACGGCUCACCUAGGGGACGAUCCCCAGCUGGUAUGAGAGGAUGACAAGCCACACUGGAACUGAGACACGUUUCAGACUCCUACGGGAGGCAGGAGGGGGGAAUAUUGCACAAUGGGCGCAAGCCUUAUGCAGCCAUGCCGCGUGUGUGAAGAAGGCCUUCGGGUUGUAAAGCACUUUCAGCGGGGAGGCGUUACCCGCAGAAGAAGCACCGGCUAACUCCGUGCCAGCCGCCGCGGUAAUAC